CCUACGGGAGGCAGCAGUGGGGAAUAUUGCGCAAUGGGCGAAAGCCUGACGCAGCGACGCCGCGUGAGGGAUGAAGGUCUUCGGAUCGUAAACCUCUGUCAGCAGGGAAGAACGGUCACUGUACUAAUCAGCAGUGAAUUGACGGUACCUGCACAGGAAGCACCGGCUAACUCCGUGCCAGCAGCCGCGGUAAUACGGAGGGUGCGAGCGUUAAUCGGAAUUACUGGGCGUAAAGCGCUCGUAGGCGGUAUGUCAAGUCAAGGGGGAAAUCCCCGCGCUCAACGUGGGAACUGACUUUGAAACUGGCAAACUAGAGUGAGUGAGAGGAGAGUGGAAUUCCAGGUGUAGCAGUGAAAUGCGUAGAUAUAUGGAAGAACAUCAGUGGCGAAGGCGACUUUCUGGCACAUAACUGACGCUGAGGGGCGAAAGCGUGGGGAGCAAACAGGAUUAGAUACCCGAGUAGUC
rnacentral:rRNA from 1 species